UUCAAAUUAUGUUUUCCUCACGAUGAUCUUUGGAGCCCGUUUUGGCUCUGACAGCAACGCCAGAUGGCAAAACUGAUGUGGUGUU